AUUGAACGCUGGCGGCAGGCCUAACACAUGCAAGUCGAGCGGAUGAAGGGAGCUUGCUCCUGGAUUCAGCGGCGGACGGGUGAGUAAUGCCUAGGAAUCUGCCUGGUAGUGGGGGAUAACGUCCGGAAACGGGCGCUAAUACCGCAUACGUCCUGAGGGAGAAAGUGGGGGAUCUUCGGACCUCACGCUAUCAGAUGAGCCUAGGUCGGAUUAGCUAGUUGGUGGGGUAAAGGCCUACCAAGGCGACGAUCCGUAACUGGUCUGAGAGGAUGAUCAGUCACACUGGAACUGAGACACGGUCCAGACUCCUACGGGAGGCAGCAGUGGGGAAUAUUGGGCAAUGGGGGAAAGCCUGAUCCAGCCAUGCCGCGUGUGUGAAGAAGGUCUUCGGAUUGUAAAGCACUUUAAGUUGGGAGGAAGGGCAGUAAGUUAAUACCUUGCUGUUUUGACGUUACCAACAGAAUAAGCACCGGCUAACUUCGUG
rnacentral:rRNA from 1 species